rnacentral:rRNA from 1 species
UACGUAGGGGGCAAGCGUUGUCCGGAAUUAUUGGGCGUAAAGCGCGUGUAGGCGGCCAGAAAAGUCCGCUGUGAAAACUCGAGGCUCAACUUCGAGCUGUCGGUGGAAACUUUCUGGCUAGAGUCCGGAAGAGGAGAAUGGAAUUCCUGGUGGUAGCGGUGAAAUGCGCAGAUAUCAGGAAGAACACCCGUGGCGAAGGCGGUUCUCUGGGACGGUACUGACGCUGAGACGCGAAAGCGUGGGGAGCGAACAGG